CCUACGGGAGGCUGCAGUGGGGAAUAUUGCGCAAUGGGCGAAACCCUGAUGCAGCAACGCCGCGUGAGUGAAGAAGGAAUUCGGUUUGUAAAGCUCUUUCCUCAGGGAAGAAAAUGACGGUAGUUGAGGAAGAAUCCCCGGCUAACUACGUGCCAGCAGCCGCGGUAAUACGUAGGGGGCAAGCGUUAUCCGGAUUUACUGGGUGUAAAGGGAGGGUAGUCGGCGGAGCAGGUCAUGAGUGAAAGGCAGGGGCUCAACCCGCGGACUGCUGUGGAAACUGUACGGCUGGAGUGCUGGAGAGGUAAGUGGAAGUCCUAGUGUAGCGGUGAAAUGCGUAGAUAUUAGGAGGAACACCAGUGGCGAAGGCGGUUUGCUGGACUGUAACUGACGUUGAGGCUCGAAAGCGUGGGGAGCAAACAGGAUUAGAUACCCGAGUAGUC
rnacentral:rRNA from 1 species